GACGAACGCUGGAGGCGUGCCUAAUACAUGCAAGUCGAACGCAGUGGGGACGGGUGAGUAACACGUGGGUCACCUCCCAUCAGAGGGGAUAACACUUGGAAACAGGUGCUAAACCGAUACUGAUGGAUGGACCCGCGGUGCAUUAGCUAGUUGGUGAGGUAACUGCUCACCAAGGCCACGAUGCAUAGCCGGCCUGGUAGGGUGAGCGGCCACACUGGAACGUAGACACGGCCCAGAGUCCAACGGGAGGCAGCAGUAGGGAAUCGUCGGCAAUGGACGAAAGUCUGACCUAGCAACGCCGCGUGAGUGAAGAAGGUUUUCGGAUCGUAAAACUCUGUUGUUAGAGAAGCGGUAUCUAACCAGAAAGCCACGGCUAACUACGUGCCAGCAGCCGCGGUAAUAC
rnacentral:rRNA from 1 species